rnacentral:rRNA from 1 species
UACGAGGGGGGCGAGCGUUGUCCGGAAUUAUUGGGCGUAAAGAGCUCGUAGGCGGUUUGUCGCGUCUGCUGUGAAAACUCGGGGCUCAACUCCGAGCUUGCAGUGGGUACGGGCAGACUAGAGUGCGGUAGGGGAGACUGGAAUUCCUGGUGUAGCGGUGGAAUGCGCAGAUAUCAGGAGGAACACCGGUGGCGAAGGCGGGUCUCUGGGCCGUAACUGACGCUGAGGAGCGAAAGCAUGGGGAGCGAACAGG